rnacentral:lncRNA from 1 species
GGGGUUUAGCCACUCAUACUUACAAAGCAAAGAUAAACAAAUUUAAACAUUGAAAACAAAAGAAAGAAAACACCUAAAAACGCUCCAACAAUCCAAUUUGAAUGGCAAGCACGUCCAAGAUCCUUCUUCUUCUCUUUGUAGCGGCACAAGGUGUGGUUUGAGGGAUGAGUGGUAAAUUAUGGUGGUGGAUGGAUAUAGGUGGGUUAUGGUGAAGGGUGGAUGGGUGGAUUGUGUUCUCU